rnacentral:lncRNA from 1 species
GAGAACUUGUAAAAGCGGUACCUGCACUGGACCCGACGAAACCUGCCUGAAAAACAUUACAACGACAUGUCCUUUUCCUGGCAGUUGCACGAAAUCUGUGACGAAGUCAAGCAAGCAAACGACUGUAACAGUAGGUUGUGGUACAUCUUCAGCAUGCCCUAUGACAACAACAGCAGCAACAACAACAAAAGCAGCAUUAACAUCCACAUCAACAUCAACAUCAUCAACAACAACAACAACAACAACAGUACAACCACCAGCACAAGGAGGAAGAAAAAGACGAGCAGCACCACCACCACCUGACUGUUGUUACUCACCUCUAUGCAACCAAUAUCAGUCUCCUGACUCCGCCGCUUUCAGGCUCCAGACAAACGUAUUUUACUUCGUAGGACUUGUUAUGCUUAUAAUUUUAAUAACGUAAAUAGAAUUAAGGUAUUCUUUGACAUAACAAAUUGAUAGUAUGACAAAUCUCUUUAUUUUCAAAACGGACAAAUAUUUUCAAAUCAAAGAAAAUAUCAAUGUUGAUUGUGGCAUUUGAAACUUGCCAGAAUAUCAAUAAAACACAAAGGUGAUAUUGAUAAUAAUUAUUACUUUUUUAGAAAUAUAAUAGAAUAUUUCCAUAAUUUCUGUACCGGGAUUCCCAGACGCAAAAGUAUCCUAUUAUUAUUUAAACUAAUUUUAUCUAUCCAACACUGUCAGGCCAAAUAGCAAUUUUUCACGGUGUUACGUCUAAAUUGCGCAAGAAUGGAUAAGUGAAGUUUUGUUUUUUAAACACUGAUGUAUAGUAAGAAAUGAAAGGUAAAGGUAGAUUUCCCGGAAGCACAGAGCACCCCAAACAACAAUACAGCUGUGUAUAAGAAACAUAGUUAUAUGAAAGUCAAUCGAUGCAUUAUUAAUAAUAAUAAUAAUAAUUUUAUUUGUGUACUUCAUGUCGAUAUAAAUUACAUAGCAUAAUACAUAAUCACAGUAUUUCUCAGAUAUCACAGUUGUAAUAAAAAUGUCAUCUAUCACAUGAUAAUGAUUAUAAUUUAUCAUAGGAUGUUAUUCUUGUUUUGAUAAUAUAGUGUUUGUUUAAACAAUUUAACAUUAAUUUGUUGUGAGUAUUAUUCUAAACCCGUUACUUUGAAGAAUCCUGAUGAAGCUAGAUAGCUGACCAAGUAUUCUAAUGAUAAAUAACAGUAGUAGAAUAAUGCUACUUAUCUUUUUGUUAACUGUAAAUUGACAACGAACUCUGGCAAAAUGUAUAUCUAAAUGAUUUUUGGCUGUAUGCAAAGAUAAUAAAACGUUUUACUAACAA